rnacentral:lncRNA from 1 species
AAUCAUCUACAUAGAUUACAACAGUUCAAGCACAAGAGGGUAUUUUGAUAUCCAUCACAGGAGGGUUGUAAGCUUUUACCUGAACUUUCAAGUGAUGAAUGCCCAUAUCAGAAUGGUGAAGUUGUACAUUAGCAUUCAAGCAGAGGUACCUGCUACAUCAAACAACAAUAGUUAGCUAAUUUUCUAAGAUUUAAGGUUAAAGUGGUGGUAUUAAUCCCAUUUGGGGUUCAACCCACGAAAAUCUAAAUCUAUGAAUAGUUAGUUGACUUAAUUUGUGAGAUGAGAAAGGUUAUAUUUAAUCGAUUAACAAAUGAACAAGACUUAAACAGAUAAAAUCAAUCAAACUUAUGAUUGAAGAGAAAUCGAAUUUCCAAAAAAUAGAGUCGCCACUUAAUUUUUUAAAAACUUACAGUUUUCAAAAGACUUAAACAGAUAAAAUCAAUUAAAAAAAGGGUUCGAGUUCAAUGUACAUUCCGAGAAGGUGUUAGGCCCUCAAAAUGUCCGCUAACUUGCGGUUGACCGGCGAUUUGACUAAAAUGACUAAUUUAAUUUAUUUAUUUAUUUUUAUUUUUUUAGAAAAUUAAUUAAGUAAGAAAACUCUUCUUUUUUUUAAUUUGGAAAUAGAUAAACCUAAAAUAGAUUUCUUUUUGAGAAAAAUAAUUCAUGUGUUGCAAACUUGCAAUACUACUAAAUAAAAUAAAACUAAGUGAUAAAUAAAAAUAUAAAUAUUUUAAUUUAAACAUAAAGAAAAGAAGAAAUGACUUUCCUUUUGGUAAUUUAAUUAAGUAAAAACCAAUUCAAAUAUAAUGUUAGUUAAUACAAUAAAUAAAUAGACAAAAUAAAAGAAGAAAUAUUGAACUUGGGCCAUUUUGCCCAAAUUCCCAAUUCUGAUGGGCUCAAAUCCUGUCCUAAUACUAAAAUUAUCAAAGUCAUGGGUUUUGGCCCACUUAAAUUAGAAUCAACUGCUAUCCAUUGGGCUUUUAAGCCCAAUCUCUCCUGGACCUGUUGUGCCAAACAAAAUUGGGCUUUGGCCCAUUUUCACCUCCUUUUCAAAUUCUGUGUAUAUAUCGAACGUAUAUGGCUGUAUACGACGCGUAUUUUGGCACCAUUUCAUGUAUAUUGGGCUGUAUAUCGAAAGUAUAUAACCUACUUCAACUUUUACAACCCGUACUUAUGUUUUUGGCCACGUAUUUGCUGCACUCAACUUGUAUAACAGUGUAUACUGCUGUAUAUAGCAGGUAUAAUGUCCGUUUUCGAACUUUUCGGAGCCUGUUUCAGCUUCUCCUUCACCGCAAAUAUGAGAAUGACUCAAAACGACUCAAGAAUAUGCAAGAGUAGAGUCCAAAAUGAACUUGGAUGGAAUUUCACAUGCAAAACAUAAAGUAAAAUAAAGAGAUUAGCAUUAAAGGAAUGAAAUGAAGUGAUGAAAAUACUAACACCUACCAGGCUACCACGCAUUAUUAAUAAAACAACACUUGAACAGUAAUUUGAAGGGAAAUUGAUGAAGACUUAUUAUUCUUAUAUUUUGAAUAAUAAACAGUGAAGGGACCACAAGAAGCAGAGGAAACAAAACUCCUAAGUGUAACAUACAUAAAGAUACUUUGAACAAAAUUGUAAGGAAAAGCGAAAGAAUCACAUUGUGGACUAAAAAAUAUUUUUUGUUGACAAACCCAAUUCUUUUAACCUUUGUAGGAGCGAAUAAAGAAGGAAAUAAAGAGAAUGAAAUCGAAACUUAAAGCUACUGAAAUUAAUCUAAACAUAAAAAUUUCAGCAUGUAUGAGCCACUUUGAAAGAACACGGCCUAAGUCAUCUACAGCCCCUCAAAGUUGUCCGCAUAAUUCAUUUAGACACCUCAACUAAGACUUGUACCUAUUGAACACCUCUACCCCUUAAAAUUUGAACCAUUUGAACAUUUUUUUGACAAUAAGCUAAAUGUAUAAAGUGUGUGAAAUACAUUCGCGAUGACAUGGCAAUUUGACGAAUUAAAUACUGACAUCUGGUAUUUUUUAGUCCAAAAAAUUAUUUUAAAAUAUAUUAUAAAGUAAAAGAAAAGAAAAUUAUUUUUAAGUUGAAAUUAAAAAAAUCAUGUAAAUCCUAUAACUUACCUACCCUUCUAUUCCAUCGGAGUCCAAAACUCCUCUCCCUCUACGGCGCCCCACCCCCAAUGGCAAUCCACCUCAAUAAAUAUGUUAUUUUCGAACCUUCUUCAAGCAAAAGGAUGAAGAUUUAUUGCUAUUUUUGAUGAGUUGCGGAAGAGUUGGCCAUAGGUAAAAAUAAAUAAAUUUAACUACCUUCUUCGUUCCAUUUUUGAUGGAAAGAUGAAUUUCGUCGGAAAAUUAAUCAUUCUGAUGGACAUUGUCGAAAAAAUAGAGUUAUGUCGGAUUUUUUUUGAGUUCUAUAGCUGAUUAUUUUUUUCGAUUGAAAAACACCCUUACAUUCGCACAAAUAUAUAUAUCAAUUCUCACAAAAAUGUGAACAAAGCAAAAAAAUAAAUAGGAAAAUACUUUAACAAAAUUCACACAAAUCUACAUCAAUUUAACACCAAAACACUACAUUAACAACAAAGAAAAAAAUUCCAAACUUCAAGCCCUCCACAAAUUCAAUGGAGAUAAUGAUGGCGGCCACCAUGGCGGCAAUGAAGGUACCGUAUGAUGGCAAUGGAGAAACAAAAAGCGGUGAUGGAGGUAGAAGUGAAGUAUCCGGAGAAAAAACGAGGAAGAAGAUGGAUGUAUAAUGGUGGCAAUGACUGAUGUGGUGGAGGAAGUGAUCGGCAGAGGGGAGGAAGAAGAAAGAACAUUUUUUUCCAAAAAAAGGCUAACUAAAGACCUCUCACGCGCCUCUUUAGGGUGAAUCACAAACAAUGUGCCAUGUAGGCAAAAAAUGUUCAGAUGAUUCAAAUUCGAGAGGGUACAGGUGUUCAAUAGGUACAAAUCUUAGUUGAGGUAUCUAAGUGAAUUAUGCGGACAACUUUAAGGGGCCGGCGAUGACUUAAGCCAAAGAACACUAAGACAAGACUUCAUGCAUUUAAACACACAGUGACCAAGACUAUUUGCACAUAACUUAAGUGAAUAGCAGUCAAGUGUCAAGUUUUAUAGUCAUAGUCGUGUGAAAUGCAAACUAAUAAGCCUUUAAUAAGUUUAUCACAAGAUUAAAUGCACAACUGAGCAGGCAACAGAAGAAUGGCUAAGAUAACGAGGUUGACUCGAACAAAUCAACACAAACUUAUAUCGACCGAUAAGAAUGAGAAUUAACUAACUUAAACUCGAAAAAUAAGUGCCAAAAAAAAUUAGUGGAGUGAUUCUUUUGACACGCUAAAAAAAACUCAACAAAACAUGAAUACCAUUUCCACAAAUAGAGACAAAAUAACAUUCUGA